UCGUAAAGAAAACUAAUGAUGGUCACUCAAAGUUUUAGCUCAGUAUUCUUACAAUAAGCAUAGCAUCAAGUUUUCUCAAUGCAGCUUCUUCAAUGAUUGAGCUUGACUUAUCAGGACAUCCAUUUUGAUCAGAAGCAGACUCUUCAUUCUGAGGGUUUGAUUGGCUUGUUGAAGACAAUGGCUCUUCCUCUUUUGAAGAUUCUAAAUUGCAUCCAGUCUCAACGCUGAAGCUCUUCUUGUGCCUCCCUUUGAAAUUGAAAAGCUUCGACAUGUAACCUUCCUGCUCCACCAUGUCCAAAUGAAGAAGAAGAAGCUCUCCUACCUACGGAAGAUGAACAAGGAAGAACAGAACAAGCAUGGGUUUCAGAAAGAAACUAAACUUUCGUUCGUUGCUUGUGGUGCAAGAGAUCGAGAGAGAGAGAGAGAGAAAGAGAAGGAUAAUGAGGAAUGAAAAUCUUUUUUAGGAGAUUGAGAGAAAGUGUGGAGGCAAUUGUUUGAUGGGAUUGUGUCAGUUUUUUCCAAUUUUGAGCUGGGUUUCUUAGAACGUGGGGUGCAUGUUGUGAGAAACUAGAGAAAAACAAAUUUUUUUUUUUUUUGCAUUUUAUUUUAAUAAUUUUGGGGGAAGAAUCUGUUGUGGUACAUGAAUUAUGAUGUAAGAUAUUGGAUGGUUGAGGUUGUAA